GAACAUGGUUUCUGGAGCAUUCAACCAACUGUGGCUCACUCUUUGGUUCUGACGCUUGCUAGCAAGCCAAACUUGGGCAACCCAAGUCUCCAUUUCCUCGUCUGUGAAGUAGCAUAAUGAUACCUACUCCAUAGGUGAUUCACAGAACGAAGUGAACUAAAGUUGAAAACUUUUGGUGAAACUACUAGCAGCAUUUGAAAGUUAAUCAGGAUAACCUAAAUUGGUAAUAAGAGAAAAGAUCUUUCUCUAAUAUUUGUGUUCUUUGGUUUGUACAUAUCCUAUGGGGAGAGUGAAAAUGAGCAAAAACUCCCUGGAAAGCUUAGCAAAUCAGCAAAAGACAAUACAAACUUUAAAAACCACACUUACCUAUGAAGGACUAGUUUUAUUUUAUUUUAUUUGAUCGAACUCGGGUCCUUGCGUUUGCAAGGCAGGCCACUGAACCACUGAGCUAAAUGCCCAGCUGGACUAGUUUUAGAAUAUGCAACUUACAAGCUUUAAAACUUAUAAGCUUUGUUAAACUUCAUGCAUUAGUUUUCCAUCACUGUGACAAAACACCUGAGAUAAGCAACCAAUGCAAAGGAAAGGUUUAUUGUGUUUUAUUGCUUCAGAGAUGUCAGUCUGUGGUCACUUGUCCCUGUUGCUUUGAACACAGCACAACGUGGCUGGGACUUGUGGCAGUAGAGAUUGGUUCAACUGCUGGAGGCCAAGAAGGAAAAUGAGAGUGAAAGCGAGAGAAUGAAAGUGAGAGAGCUGCUCCCGACCCAGCCGCCAUCACUCAAGCACCUGGAGAGGUCUCCAUCCGCAAGAUCUUCAGGAAAGACCUUCAGGCAGCGUCGGUCCUGUGCCUGGUAUCCUCCAGGGAACAUGGGAGGAGUCUGUUCUAGAGGGGGCAGCACCAAUUCUCAGGGGGCCACUGUGACAUCACAGCAGGUACCAAGGCUGGCGCCCAGGUGUUACCUCGAGACUCAGGCUUCAUUGAUGUGUUUUCAACAGAGCUACUGCUCCGUUGGCCACCAAAGGUGGCCAUGGUAUCCGGAGUUCCACCAAGUUGCCCACCUCUUCUUCUUCUCAGUGAUCACAACUCAUGCAGUGAUGGUUAAUCAAGAUGAAAAGAGCAGAGGCAAUAAAUUAAUUUUAUAAUAGCAAUGUUCUUUAAUUGGCCUCCACUUAGCUGAUUCACGAGACAUGAUAAAAUAGACUGGGUUUCGCCCCCAAACCCCAAAUCUUUGCUGCUCCUAAGUUACUCUUUGGAUGGUCUCUGAACUUUAACCAGUUUGAGGACCUGAGAAAACAAGAGUCAGAUAUGUCUGUAACCACUUCCUCUUCCUGCCAGCUUUAUUUGAUAUUUUAAAGAUG
rnacentral:lncRNA from 1 species